UGCUCAUCGGCCCUGAAG
rnacentral:misc_RNA from 1 species